AGCUGGAGAUUAGGAUCAGGAGGGUAACCAAAGGUGUGGUAGAAGAGGAAUAUACUGAGGUGGACCUUGAAGGAUGCAAAGGAGGGGGGCGAGGCCAAAGGCCCGAUCAUUGGUGGUGGUGAGGGGAGUGGUGCAGGCGAGUCUGCUGAAUGGGCUUAGUGGGGAGGGGCCAGGCCAUGGAGGGCUCUUUUUUUUAUAAAUGUGGACGAGGAUCUUGUAACUUGAUCCUCUGGGGGAUGGGGAGCCAAUGAAACUGCGCGAGGAUAGGCGCAUGGAGCUUGGUGGGGCUAAAACUGCAGAGUUCUGAAUAAUCUGCAGCUUAUAGAGAGAAGAGUUGGGAAGACCGACAAGCAAGGAGUUUGAAUAAUCUCGAAACACACACGCAAGCUCUCGCUCAAAGUGCAAAUGCAAAAUAACUUCUGUUUAACCAUUACAAAUCUGAAGAGAAAUAUGGAAACUAGGGAUAAAUGUAUAUAAAUCCCUUUCAAUUGCAAGAGAGUGAAAGCAGGGGGCUUCUAAUCUAUUUUGGAUUUGUGAAGAGCAGACUUAAGGGUUCAGAUGCGCGCGCACACCUCCAGGGCACCACUAUGAUGAGAUGAUGUUGGUAGGGACAUCUGAUACUUGAUGAUAAUCCAACAUCCUGAGUGUUAAUCUGGCCCUUGGGUGGUGGCUGAAGGGAGCAUUUGAGGAGCUGGAGCUUAAUUCUUUGCAUUUACUUUUCAGGUUGUGGAUGAAGACUGGAGCCAGGUUUUGCUGCCUGGAGUCUGUCCAUAGGUGCUGCUGGGCUGUGUGGUCAGUGCUGUGCUACUGCCCAGGAGGAUAGCAUGGCAUGCCUGACUGACUGACCGCUGUAACCAGGGAAGAGAUCAGUGGCUGAGCCCACGGUGUAGCUGGUGCUGCUGGGCUGUGUGGUCAGUGCUGUGCUACUGCCCAGGAGGAUAGCAUGGCAUGCCUGACUGACUGACCGCUGUAACCAGGGAAGAGAUCAGUGGCUGAGCCCACGGUGUAGCUGGUGCUGCUGGGCUGUGUGGUCAGUGCUGUGCUACUGCCCAGGAGAAUAGCAUGGCCUGACUGACUGACUGACCCUGUAACCUGGGAAGUGAGCUGAUGCCGUCGCUGGUCCCUGGCAUAAGGACCACACCUGUCUGCAGUGAGCUGUGGCCGGUGCUAGGAACACAAUGCCAUCACUGGUGCUGGUGUGAGGGCCACACUUAUCUCAGGAUCUGUGGCCGGUGGUAGGAGCACAGUGAAGAGUGGAGGAGGUGCAAGAGGCCAACAGAUGCCAUCACUGGUGCCGGGGUGAGGGCCACAUGUGUGCAGGGCCUGUGCUGGCUCCAGGAAUCAUGGGCACAUUAGUGCCUCUGCACUAACAACUUGCAUUUAUGUAGUGCUCUUCACAUGGGGUAGUGUCCUGGAGCGCUAACUAAUUACUGGUGGAGAAGAUUCUGGACUGGGAAGAAAUCUGGCUUCAACACGCUUGUAUGUUGUACCUGGAAUUAAAGUUCAGUUUUUUAA